UACGUAGGGUCCGAGCGUUGUCCGGAAUUAUUGGGCGUAAAGGGCUCGUAGGCGGUUCGUCACGUCGGGAGUGAAAACUCGGAGCUCAACUCCGAGCCUGCUUCCGAUACGGGCAGACUAGAGGUAGGCAGGGGAGAGCGGAACUCCUGGUGUAGCGGUGGAAUGCGCAGAUAUCAGGAAGAACACCGGUGGUCGAAGGCGGCUCUCUGGGCCUUACCUGACGCUGAGGAGCGAAAGCGUGGGUAGCGAACAGG
rnacentral:rRNA from 1 species